rnacentral:lncRNA from 1 species
AAUCUACCUUAGCCUCUUGUUUAUACUGUAUUUUAGGUGGAAAGGUCACAGGGAAAGGAAGCACAGCCUUGCAUGAUUUCACCCCCUCCUACCAGAGAAUAAAAAUGGUCUGGUCUCCCCCCCUGACCCCCUGACUCCCCCAGGAAACAAAUUGUGACCAAACUUUUGGACCAGUCCUGCAAAGACAUCCGGAAACCCCAGUCAGACGGCUGGAGCAGUGAGGAAGAUGACGAUGUGUUUGAUACCACAGGUCAGGAAAUGACCUCACUCCAAACAGGCCCACCCAUAGUAUCAGAGGAGGAACUGGCCAGUCUAGCCCUCAUUAGCCCGUCUAAGACUAGCCAGUAUUCAGGCUCCAGGGUCAAAGCUCUAAUCCAGAUUUUGCAGCAUCAACUGGACCAAGAGGAACUGGUCAAAGAGUUCAUGGCUCUGGAGCACCUGAAGCCCUCUGACAACUGUCUGGUGGGAAAAGCCCCUGAGAACAGGGACAAGAACCGCUACAGAGACAUCCUAC